GACGGAAGGUGCAAGCGUUGCUCGGAAUCACUGGGCGUAAAGGGUGCGUAGGCGGCCGUGCAAGUCUGGCGUGAAAGCCCCGGGCUCAGCCCGGGAAGUGCGCUCGAAACUGCGCGGCUCGAGUACUGGAGAGGAGAUUGGAAUUUACGGUGUAGCAGUGAAAUGCGUAGAUAUCGUAAGGAAGACCAGUGGCGAAGGCGAAUCUCUGGACAGUUACUGACACUGAGGCACGAAGGCCAGGGGAGCAAACGGG
rnacentral:rRNA from 1 species